UUCACUUUCAUCUUGUGGCCUCAAAUAGAAUAAACUUGGGGUGUUGUGGGACAGUUCGUUAGUUUGUCUGGUUCCGUGCCAGCAUCAAUGCAUCCUCGGAAAGGAUAUGUGAAUGUUUAGAAUACAUAAGGUUGCAAGAAAUGCAACCUUGUGGAGCUUCUGAACAAUCACUGAAAAGAUCUUCCACGCACUCUUGAUUUGCACAUUAUUGUGCUUAUCUAUGUCUUAUUGUAUAAAUGUAUUUGUGAAAACUGACUUAUGGUUAGGUGGAUUCUGCUAUUGAUUACUUCUUAGAUAUUGGUUGGGAAGGAUUUCAAGGCACUGAUAUUGAUUAUCAGUAAGAUUUUCAAGUGGGAGCGAGUAGAAAGUAACUUGUACAUUUUUCCUGUAGUAAAUCUGCAGCUGAUCUGAUUAUUCUUCAGUUCUUUUUCCCUCUAGAUUCUUGGGGAGGGUUACCUUUUUUUAACCUGUAUUUCUCUUCCACUCGGAACAGUUACUGACCAAGUGCUUUCUUUGUAGGCUUUGCAGUAUUUGUCUGUCAGGUAUGCAGUUUUCCAAGCUGUAUAUAACUACUGGAAAGAAAAGGUAUUUUUUACUUUCAAAAUGCAGCAUAUGGCUUCUUCAAGUACUAAUGGUGCUUCUCUUUUAGUUUUUGUAACAUGACUCGCUGUCUUUGAUAUCUUCUCUCACUAUCUAUUUUGUCUGAAAACCUUCAAAUUCUUACUUAGCCUUUAAGUCAGAAACUUGGCUUAUAUUUCAUGAUCUUAUACCUUUUGUUCUUUUAUAGAGGGAGCGAUGGCAAAAGUCUAUUCUUCGGCGGUUGCAGCCUCCUCCGCCAGUGAAUGAUACAAACCCAUACAAUGUCUUCAGGCCAAGAGAAAAGGCUCAUCGUCUUCAUACAAGAAGGAUGCAAAGACGGGAAAACAAUAUCCAGUCAUUCGAAAAACUCCGCUUGGUAAGAGUUAUUUUUCUUGUGGUUAUUAUAUUAGUUAAACAUUUUGGUAUAUAUAU